rnacentral:misc_RNA from 1 species
ACGCAGCCUGACCUGAGUGGAGCUCUUUUUCUUUUUAUUUAAAAAGAAAAAAGCGGGAACGGUGGGCGGAUUAAGC